rnacentral:miRNA from 15 species
UGAUGAGUGUUUUCCCAAU